rnacentral:rRNA from 1 species
UACGGAGGAUGCAAGCGUUAUCCGGAAUGAUUGGGCGUAAAGCGUCCGCAGGUGGCUGUGUAAGUCUGCUGUUAAAUAGUGAGGCUCAACCUCAUAAAGGCAGUGGAAACUACACGGCUAGAGUGCGUUCGGGGCAGAGGGAAUUCCUGGUGUAGCGGUGAAAUGCGUAGAGAUCAGGAAGAACACCGGUGGCGAAAGCGCUCUGCUAGGCCGCAACUGACGCUGAGGGACGAAAGCUAGGGGAGCAAACGGG